ensembl:lncRNA LINC00882 long intergenic non-protein coding RNA 882
UAACAGAUGAAGAAAGGCUAUGGAAGAGACAGAUUCUGGAGGAUGCAGCAUUCAAGGUUCUAUCUUGGAAGCAGAGACUGUGCCCUCACCAGAUGCUGAACCUGCUGAGCACCCUGAUCUUCCACUUCACCUUCAUCAGAACUGGACGCGCAUGAAAUUUGGUGCCGUGACUCGGAUCGGCGGACCUCCCUUAGGAGAUCAAUCCCCUGUCCUCCUGCUCUUUGCUCCAUGAGAAAGAUCCACCUACGACCUAAGGUCCUCAGACCAACCAGCCCAAGAAACAUCUCACCAAUUUCAAAUCCGAAAUCCUUCAUCUAAUCUGGCAAACACAUGUGGCAGGUUUUUCUCACCGCAUAAAAUAUGUUAUAGAGUAGUCCAUCUAUUUCUCUUCCAUGGAAGAGUUCAUCUGGUAGAUUGGACUACCACUUUUCCUUGAAGAGGAAGAAGAAGAGGGAGGAAGGAGAGAAAAAAGGAAGGAAGGAAAGAAGAAAAGAAAAAAGAAUGAGAGAGAGAGAACAAAAGCAUCACCAAUAAGUGACGCUAGGAGCUAGCCCAAUGCAGAAGAAUGAAAUUGGACCCUUUUCUUUCACCAUAUACAAAAACUCACUCAAGAUGGGUGAAAGACUUAAAUGUAAAACCUAAAACUGUAAAAACCCUAGGAAACCUACGAAAUGUCAUUCUGGAUAUAGACCCUGGCAAGGAUUUCAUGAUAAAGACUCCAAAAGCAAUUGCAACAGAAACAAAAAUUGACAAGUAGAAUAUAAUUAAAGAGCUUCUGCACAGCAAAAUAAACAAUCAAAAGGGUAAACAGACAACCUACAGAAUGGGAAAAUGUAUUUGCAAACUAUGCAUCUGAUAAAGGUCUAAUAUCCAGCAUCUAUAAGGAACUUAAACAACUCUACAAGAAAAAACAAACAACCCCACCAAAAUUUUCUUAGAAUAGUCAAAAAAAUAGACAAAGAACAUGAACAGAGAAGACAUGCAUGCAGCCAAGAGAAGACAUGCUUCUCAAGAGAAGACAUGCAUGCAGCCAACAAGCAUAUGAAAAAAA